CCAACGGCUCUUUUAAGAGCCACCAACCUUUCAAAGAAAGAGCUGU
rfam:Erinaceus europaeus unplaced genomic scaffold scaffold00740, whole genome shotgun sequence